GGAUUCCCCUAGUAACGGCGAGUGAAGCGGGAAGAGCUCAAAUUUAAAAUCUGGCGGUCUUUGGCUGUCCGAGUUGUAAUCUAGAGAGGUGUUUUCAGUGCCGGACCAUGUACAAGUCCCUUGGAACAGGGCGUCAUAGAGGGUGAGAAUCCCGUCCAUGACAUGGACUCCCGAUGCUGUGCGAUACACCUUCAAAGAGUCGAGUUGUUUGGGAAUGCAGCUCAAAAUGGGUGGUAAAUUCCAUCUAAAGCUAAAUACUGGCGAGAGACCGAUAGCGAACAAGUACCGUGAGGGAAAGAUGAAAAGAACUUUGGAAAGAGAGUUAAACAGUACGUGAAAUUGUUGAAAGGGAAACGCUUGAAGUCAGUCGCGUCUUCUGGGACUCAGCCUAGCUUCUGCUUGGUGUAUUUCUCGGUAGAUGGGCCAGCAUCAAUUUUGGGCGCCGGAUAAAGGCGGGAGGAAUGUGGCAACUUCGGUUGUGUUAUAGCCUUUCGUCGUACACGGUGCUUGGGAUUGAGGACUGCAGCACGCCUUUGGUUGGGGUUCGCCCACAUUCGUGCUUAGGAUGCUGGCAUAAUGGCUUUAAACGACCCGUCUUGAAACACGGACCAAGGAGUCUAACAUGCCUGCGAGUGUUUGGGUGCAAAACCCAUGCGCGUAAUGAAAGUGAAAGGUUGGGACCCUUUAGUGGGGCACCGACGCCCGAUCCUGAAGUUCUCUGACGGAUUUGAGGCAGAGCAUGUAUGUUGGGACCCGAAAGAUGGUGAACUAUGCCUGAAUAGGGCGAAGCCAGAGGAAACUCUGGUGGAGGCUCGUAGCGAUUCUGACGUGCAAAUCGAUCGUCAAAUUUGGGGUAUAGGGGCGAAAAGACUAAUCGAAACCAU
rnacentral:rRNA from 1 species